rnacentral:rRNA from 1 species
AGUGAACGCUGGCGGCAGGCCUAACACAUGCAAGUCGAGCGGCAGCGCGUCCGACCACCCUCGGGUGGUCGGAUGGCGGCGAGCGGCGGACGGGUGAGGAAUGCAUCGGAAUCUGCCUCGUUGUGGGGGAUAACGUAGGGAAACUUACGCUAAUACCGCAUACGACCUACGGGUGAAAGUGGGGGACCUUCGGGCCUCACGCGAUGAGAUGAGCCGAUGCCGGAUUAGCUAGUUGGCGGGGUAAAGGCCCACCAAGGCGACGAUCCGUAGCUGGUCUGAGAGGAUGAUCAGCCACACUGGAACUGAGACACGGUCCAGACUCCUACGGGAGGCAGCAGUGGGGAAUAUUGGACAAUGGGGGCAACCCUGAUCCAGCCAUGCCGCGUGUGUGAAGAAGGCCUUCGGUUGUAAGACACUUUGUUGGGUAGAACCGG